GAUGAACGCUGGCGGCGUGCCUAAUACAUGCAAGUCGAGCGAACAGACGAGGAGCUUGCUCCUCUGACGUUAGCGGCGGACGGGUGAGUAACACGUGGAUACCCUACCUAUAAGACUGGGAUCACUUCGGGAAACCGGAGCUAAUACCGGAUAACAUGUUGCACCGCAUGGUUCAACAGUGAAAGACGGUCUUGCUGUCGCUUAUCGCUGCAUCUGCGCCGGAUUAGCUAGUUGGUAAGGUAACGGCCUAUCAAGGCUACGAUGCGUAGCCGACCUGAGAGGGUGGUCGGCGACACGGGAAGUGAAACGGGGUCCAGACUCCUGCGAGAGGCAGCAGUAGGGAAUGUUCGGCAGUGGUCGAAAGCCUGACGGAGCAACGCGGCGUGAGUGAAAAAAAUCUUCGGAGCGUAAAGCUCGGUUAUUGGGGAAGAACAAAUGUGUAAGGAGCUGUGCACGUCUUGACGGUACCUGAUAAGAAAGCCACGGCUAACUACGUG
rnacentral:rRNA from 1 species